UACGGAGGGUGCGAGCGUUGCUCGGAAUCACUGGGCGUAAAGGGCGUGUAGGCGGUCCGCUAAGUCUGAUGUGAAAGCCCGGGGCUCACCCCCGGAAGGGCAUUGGAAACUGACGGACUCGAGUCCCGAAGAGGAGGGUGGAAUUCCUGGUGUAGCGGUGAAAUGCGUAGAUAUCAGGAGGAACACCGGUGGCGAAGGCGGCCCUCUGGACGGUGACUGACGCUGAGACGCGAAAGCGUGGGGAGCAAACAGG
rnacentral:rRNA from 1 species